rnacentral:rRNA from 1 species
CUGACACGUAGGUGAAGUGAUUUACUCAUGGAGCUGAAGUCAGUCGAAGAUACCAGCUGGCUGCAACUGUUUAUUAAAAACACAGCACUGUGCAAACACGAAAGUGGACGUAUACGGUGUGACGCCUGCCCGGUGCCGGAAGGUUAAUUGAUGGGGUCAGCGCAAGCGAAGCUCCUGAUCGAAGCCCCGGUAAACGGCGGCCGUAACUAUAACGGUCCUAAGGUAGCGAAAUUCCUUGUCGGGUAAGUUCCGACCUGCACGAAUGGCGUAAUGAUGGCCAGGCUGUCUCCACCCGAGACUCAGUGAAAUUGAACUCGCUGUGAAGAUGCAGUGUACCCGCGGCAAGACGGAAAGACCCCGUGAACCUUUACUAUAGCUUGACACUGAACAUUGAGCCUUGAUGUGUAGGAUAGGUGGGAGGCUUUGAAGUGUGGACGCCAGUCUGCAUGGAGCCGACCUUGAAAUACCACCCUUUAAUGUUUGAUGUUCUAACGUGGACCCGUAAUCCGGGUUGCGGACAGUGUCUGGUGGGUAGUUUGACUGGGGCGGUCUCCUCCUAAAGAGUAACGGAGGAGCACGAAGGUUGGCUAAUCCUGGUCGGACAUCAGGAGGUUAGUGCAAUGGCAUAAGCCAGCUUGACUGCGAGCGUGACGGCGCGAGCAGGUGCGAAAGCAGGUCAUAGUGAUCCGGUGGUUCUGAAUGGAAGGGCCAUCGCUCAACGGAUAAAAGGUACUCCGGGGAUAACAGGCUGAUACCGCCCAAGAGUUCAUAUCGACGGCGGUGUUUGGCACCUCGAUGUCGGCUCAUCACAUCCUGGGGCUGAAGUAGGUCCCAAGGGUAUGGCUGUUCGCCAUUUAAAGUGGUACGCGAGCUGGGUUUAGAACGUCGUGAGACAGUUCGGUCCCUAUCUGCCGUGGGCGCUGGAGAACUGAGGGGGGCUGCUCCUAGUACGAGAGGACCGGAGUGGACGCAUCACUGGUGUUCGGGUUGUCAUGCCAAUGGCACUGCCCGGUAGCUAAAUGCGGAAGAGAUAAGUGCUGAAAGCAUCUAAGCACGAAACUUGCCCCGAGAUGAGUUCUCCCUGAGACUUAGAGUCUCCUGAAGGAACGUUGAAGACGACGACGUUGAUAGGCCGGGUGUGUAAGCGCAGCGAUGCGUUGAGCUAACCGGUACUAAUGAACCGUGAGGCUUAACCUUAC